rnacentral:rRNA from 1 species
AGAGUUUGAUCCUGGCUCAGGACGAACGCUGGCGGCGUGCUUAACACAUGCAAGUCGGACGAGACGAUUUAGAAGCUUGCUUUUAAAGAGUCGAGUGGCAAACGGGUGAGUAACGCGUAGGCAACCUGCCUUUGAGAUGGGGACAACAGUCCGAAAGGACUGCUAAUACCGAAUGUUGUAACUUCCUCGCAUGAAGGAGAUACUAAAGAUGGCCUCUACUUGUAAGCUAUCGCUCAAAGAUGGGUCUGCGUCUGAUUAGCUUGUUGGCGGGGUAACGGCCCACCAAGGCGACGAUCAGUAGCCGGUCUGAGAGGAUGAACGGCCACAUUGGAACUGAGACACGGUCCAGACUCCUACGGGAGGCAGCAGUGGGGAAUCUUCCGCAAUGGGCGCAAGCCUGACGGAGCAACGCCGCGUGGGUGAAGAAGGGCUUCGGCUCGUAAAGCCCUGUUGUCGGGGACGAGUGUCAGUGACUAGAAUAUGGUUAUUGAAUGACGGUACCUGACGAGGAAGCCACGGCUAACUACGUGCCAGCAGCCGCGGUAAUACGUAGGUGGCGAGCGUUGUCCGGAAUUAUUGGGCGUAAAGGGAGCGCAGCGGGANGCCAGGUCCAUCUUAAAAGUGCGGGGCUCAACCCCGUGAUGGGAAANAAACCGGUCUUCUUGAGUGCAGGAGAGGAAAGCGGAAUUCCUUAGUGUAGCGGUGAAAUGCGUAGAUAUUAGGAAGGAACACAGUGGGCGAAAGGNGGCUUUCUGGACUGCAACUGACGNUGAGGCUUCGAAAGCCAGGGGNANCNGACCGGGAUUUAGANUNCCCCGGGUANUCCUGGNCCNNAAANCNNUNAAUGC